CCUACGGGUGGCUGCAGUGAGGAAUAUUGGUCAAUGGCCGUAAGGCUGAACCAGCCAAGUCGCGUGAAGGAAGACGGCCCUAUGGGUUGUAAACUUCUUUUAUAGGGGAAUAAAGGGAUCCACGUGUGGCUAUUUGCAUGUACCCUAUGAAUAAGCAUCGGCUAACUCCGUGCCAGCAGCCGCGGUAAUACGGAGGAUGCGAGCGUUAUCCGGAUUUAUUGGGUUUAAAGGGUGCGUAGGUGGUUUGUUAAGUCAGUGGUGAAAGUUUGCGGCUCAACCAUAAAAUUGCAGUUGAUACUGGAAGUCUUGAGUGUGUUUGAGGUAGGCGGAAUGCGUGGUGUAGCGGUGAAAUGCAUAGAUAUCACGCAGAACCCCGAUUGCGAAGGCAGCUUACUAAGCUAUGACUGACACUGAAGCACGAAAGCGUGGGGAUCAAACAGGAUUAGAUACCCGUGUAGUC
rnacentral:rRNA from 1 species